rnacentral:rRNA from 1 species
AUUGAACGCUGGCGGCAGGCCUAACACAUGCAAGUCGAGCGCGCGGCGGACGGGUGAGUAAUGUAUGGGGACUGCCCGCUAGAGGGGGCUAACUACUGGAAACGGUGGCUAAUACCGCAUCCUAUCGGAUAACCCAUAUGGGAUUAGCUAGUAGGUGGGGUAAAGGCUCACCUAGGCGACGAGCUCUCGCUGGUCUGAGAGGAUAAGAAGCCAAACUGGGACUGAGACACGGCCCAGACGCCUACGGAGGCAGCAGUGGGGAAUAUUGCACAAGGGGCGCAAGCCUGAUGCGGCCAGGCAGCGUGUAUGAAGAAGGCCUUAGGGUUGUAAAGUACUUACAGCGGGGAGGCGUUACCCGCAGAAGAAGCACCGGCUAACUCCGUGCCAGCAGCCGCGGUAAUAC